GAGCCGGGCCUCACCAACCCAUAAUAUUCCCCAGUCUCCUAAGGCUGUUCCAGCCCAUAAUACUCUCCCUGUCUCCUAAGGCCUCUCCAUCCCAUAAUACUGCCAGACGCCUGACCUGUGGGCCAAACCCCAGCCAGUUCCACACAUCGAGGCUGUGUCAGCGCCGCAGGCCUCCCUCCCUGUCCCUCCUCCCUCCCUGGUCGGCGCUUUCCCUCCCAGGCUUUCUCCCGCCCUCCUGCCCUGGGCCCCUCUCCCAGCCCCACCCCGUGCCUGCCUGGGCCCUCGCUUCCCCUCCAGCCUCCUCCCUUGCCCUUUCUCCAUUGCUUGGUUCUCCAGCCAGCUUCCCCCUGUCUUGCACUUUCCUACCUCCUCCUUGGUCUGUGGGAUGGACAUGGGCCUAGUGGGGAGAGAGUGCCCCCAGAGGGCAACAGGCCAGUCGCUGCCCCUAAAGACUGCCUGCUUGACCUAGCACCGUGGAAACCUGCCCAGCCUGCCUUGCUCACCACCUCCCGUGGUCCUACGUCUGAUUGCUGGCAGAGCUCUGUCUGGGUGGCAGCCUCGAGGGAAUUCCAUCUUCAGGAUGGUUGAGGACCAAGAAGGAAGAAUCUCUGCCCUCCUUUGAUAUCCCUUACCUCUGCCCUGGCUCUCCUAAAUUUGUUUUAAGAUUAAUGAUUGUGGCCGGGUGUGGUAGCUCACACCUGUAAUCCCAGCACUCUGGGAGGCAGAGUCAGGCACAUCACAUGAGGCCAGGAGUUCAAAACCAGCAUGGCCAACAUGGUAAAACCCCGUCUCUACUAAAAAUACGAAAAUUAGCUGGGCGUGGUGACGCACGCCUGUAAUUCCAGCUACUAAGGAGGCUGAGGCAGGAGAAUCACUUGAAUCUGGGAGGGGGAGGUUGCAGUGAGCCGAGAUGGCACCACUGCACUCCAGCAUGGAUGACAGAGCAAGACCUUGUCUCAAAAAAAAAAAAAAAAAAAAAAAUUAAGGCCAGGAGCGGUGGCUCAUGCCUGUAAUCCCAGCAUUUUGGGAGGCCGAGGUGGGCGGAUCAUGAGGUCAGGAGACGGAGACCAUCCUGGCUAACCUGGUGAAACCCUGUCUGUACUAAAAAUAAAAACAAUCAGCUGGGUGUGGUGGCACGUGCCUGUAGUCCCAGCUACUCGGGAGGCUGAGGCAGGAGAAUCACUUGAACUUGGGAGGCAGAAGUUGCAGUGAGCCGAGAUCGUGCCACUGCAC
rnacentral:lncRNA from 10 species